UCAAGUGAAUAAGUGCAUCAGGUGGAUGCCUUGGCGAUGAUAGGCGACGAAGGACGUGUAAGCCUGCGAAAAGCGCGGGGGAGCUGGCAAUAAAGCUAUGAUCCCGCGAUGUCCGAAUGGGGAAACCCACUGCAUUCUGUGCAGUAUCCUAAGUUGAAUACAUAGACUUAGAGAAGCGAACCCGGAGAACUGAACCAUCUAAGUACCCGGAGGAAAAGAAAUCAACCGAGAUUCCGCAAGUAGUGGCGAGCGAACGCGGAGGAGCCUGUACGUGAUAACUGUCGAGAUAGAAGAACAAGCUGGGAAGCUUGACCAUAGUGGGUGAUAGUCCCGUAUUCGAAAUCUCAAUAGUGGUACUAAGCGUACGAAAAGUAGGGCGGGACACGUGAAAUCCUGUCUGAAUAUGGGGGGACCAUCCUCCAAGGCUAAAUACUCAUCAUCGACCGAUAGUGAACCAGUACCGUGAGGGAAAGGCGAAAAGAACCCCGGGAGGGGAGUGAAAUAGAACCUGAAACCUGAUGCAUACAAACAGUGGGAGCACCCUUGUGGUGUGACUGCGUACCUUUUGUAUAAUGGGUCAACGACUUACAUUCAGUAGCGAGCUUAACCGAAUAGGGGAGGCGUAGGGAAACCGAGUCUUAAUAGGGCGAACAGUUGCUGGGUGUAGACCCGAAACCGAGUGAUCUAUCCAUGGCCAGGUUGAAGGUGCCGUAACAGGUACUGGAGGACCGAACCCACGCAUGUUGCAAAAUGCGGGGAUGAGCUGUGGAUAGGGGUGAAAGGCUAAACAAACUCGGAGAUAGCUGGUUCUCCCCGAAAACUAUUUAGGUAGUGCCUCGAGCAAGACACUGAUGGGGGUAAAGCACUGUUAUGGCUAGGGGGUUAUUGCAACUUACCAACCCAUGGCAAACUAAGAAUACCAUCAAGUGGUUCCUCGGGAGACAGACAGCGGGUGCUAACGUCCGUUGUCAAGAGGGAAACAACCCAGACCGCCAGCUAAGGUCCCAAAUGAUAGAUUAAGUGGUAAACGAAGUGGGAAGGCCCAGACAGCCAGGAUGUUGGCUUAGAAGCAGCCAUCAUUUAAAGAAAGCGUAAUAGCUCACUGGUCGAGUCGUCCUGCGCGGAAGAUGUAACGGGGCUCAAAUCUAUAACCGAAGCUGCGGAUGCCAGUUUACUGGCAUGGUAGGGGAGCGUUCUGUAGGCCGAUGAAGGUGCAUUGUAAAGUGUGCUGGAGGUAUCAGAAGUGCGAAUGUUGACAUGAGUAGCGAUAAAGCGGGUGAAAAGCCCGCUCGCCGAAAGCCCAAGGUUUCCUACGCAACGUUCAUCGGCGUAGGGUGAGUCGGCCCCUAAGGUGAGGCAGAAAUGCGUAGUCGAUGGGAAACAGGUUAAUAUUCCUGUACUUGAUUCAAAUGCGAUGUGGGGACGGAGAAGGUUAGGUUAGCAAGCUGUUGGAAUAGCUUGUUUAAGCCGGUAGGUGGAAGACUUAGGCAAAUCCGGGUCUUCUUAACACCGAGAAGUGAUGACGAGUGUCUACGGACAUGAAGUAACCGAUACCACGCUUCCAGGAAAAGCCACUAAGCUUCAGUUUGAAUUGAACCGUACCGCAAACCGACACAGGUGGGCAGGAUGAGAAUUCUAAGGCGCUUGAGAGAACUCAGGAGAAGGAACUCGGCAAAUUGAUACCGUAACUUCGGGAGAAGGUAUGCCCUCUAAGGUUAAGGACUUGCUCCGUAAGCCCUGGAGGGUCGCAGAGAAUAGGUGGCUGCGACUGUUUAUUAAAAACACAGCACUCUGCUAACACGAAAGUGGACGUAUAGGGUGUGACGCCUGCCCGGUGCUGGAAGGUUAAUUGAAGAUGUGCAAGCAUCGGAUCGAAGCCCCAGUAAACGGCGGCCGUAACUAUAACGGUCCUAAGGUAGCGAAAUUCCUUGUCGGGU
rnacentral:rRNA from 1 species